rnacentral:tRNA from 1 species
UGCUCGGGUGUAGUGGCUUGAUGUUGGACUGGGACUCUGGAGACCAGGGUUCAAAUCCCGGCUGGGCCA